GGACCCGCACAAGCGGUGGAGCAUGUGGUUUAAUUCGAUGCAACGCGAAAAACCUUACCUACACUUGACAUACUUCGAAUUUUCUAGAGAUAGAUUAGUGCCUUCGGGAGCGAAGAUACAGGUGCUGCAUGGCUGUCGUCAGCUCGUGUCGUGAGAUGUUGGGUUAAGUCCUAUAACGAGCGCAACCCUUACCCUUAUUUGCCAGCGGUUAGGCCGGGAACUAUAAGGGAACUGCCGGUAAUAAGCCGGAGGAAGGUGGGGACGACGUCAAGUCAUCAUGGCCCUUACGUGUAGGGCUACACACGUGCUACAAUGGGAGAUACAGACGGCCGCAAACCCGCGAGGGGGAGCCAAUCCGACAAACCUAGUCGUAGUCCGGAUCGGAGUCUGCAACUCGACUCCGUG
rnacentral:rRNA from 1 species